ACGGAAGGCAGCAGUGAGGAAUAUUGGUCAAUGGGCGGAAGCCUGAACCAGCCAAGUCGCGUGAAGGAUGAAGGUAUUAUGUAUUGUAAACUUCUUUAGUCGCAGGGAAAUAAGGCGGACGCGUCCGCUGAUGCUAGUAUGCGAAGAAUAAGGAUCGGCUAACUCCGUGCCAGCAGCCGCGGUAAUACGGAGGAUCCGAGCGUUAUCCGGAUUUAUUGGGUUUAAAGGGUGCGCAGGCGGUCUUUUAAGUCAGUGGUCAAAUCGUGGGGCUCAACCCCAUCCCGCCAUUGAUACUGGAGGACUUGAUUGCGGUCGAGGUUGGCGGAAUUCGUCGUGUAGCGGUGAAAUGCAUAGAUAUGACGAAGAACACCGAUUGCGUAGGCAGCUGACCAGUCCGUAAAUGACGCUCAUGCACGAAAGUGCGGGGAUCGAACAGGAUUAGAUACCCUGGUA
rnacentral:rRNA from 1 species